AUUGAACGCUGGCGGCAGGCCUAACACAUGCAAGUCGAGCGGAUGAAGGGAGCUUGCUCCUGGAUUCAGCGGUGGACGGGUGAGUAAUGCCUAGGAAUCUGCCUGGUAGUGGGGGAUAACGUCCGGAAACGGGCGCUAAUACCGCAUACGUCCUGAGGGAGAAAGUGGGGGAUCUUCGGACCUCACGCUAUCAGAUGAACCUAGGUCGGAUUAGCUAGUUGGUGGGGUAAAGGCCUACCAAGGCGACGAUCCGUAACUGGUCUGAGAGGAUGAUCAGUCACACUGGAACUGAGACACGGUCCAGACUCCUACGGGAGGCAGCAGUGGGGAAUAUUGGACAAUGGGCGAAAGCCUGAUCCAGCCAUGCCGCGUGUGUGAAGAAGGUCUUCGGAUUGUAAAGCACUUUAAGUUGGGAGGAAGGGCAGUAAGUUAAUACCUUGCUGUUUUGACGUUACCAACAGAAUAAGCACCGGCUAACUUCGUG
rnacentral:rRNA from 1 species